rnacentral:tRNA from 1 species
AUUUUUAUAGUUUAAGAAAAACAUUUCAUUUUCAUUGAAAAAUUAGAUCCGUCUUAAAAAUA